rnacentral:rRNA from 1 species
UGUGGGGGAUAACCCGUCGAAAGACGGGCUAAUACCGCAUACGCUCUUCGGAGGAAAGCAGGGGACCUUUGGGCCUUGCGCUAGCCGAGCGGCCGAUGUCCGAUUAGCUAGCUGGUGGGGUAAAGGCCUACCAAGGCGACGAUCGGUAGCGGGUCUGAGAGGACGAUCCGCCACACUGGGACUGAGACACGGCCCAGACUCCUACGGGAGGCAGCAGUGGGGAAUCUUGGACAAUGGGGGCAACCCUGAUCCAGCAAUGCCGCGUGGGUGAAGAAGGCCUUCGGGUUGUAAAGCCCUUUCGGCAGGGAAGAAAUCGGCGGGGCGAAUAACCCUGCUGGAUGACGGUACCUGCAGAAGAAGCACCGGCUAACUACGUG